UAAGGCGAAGAUAAAAACACAGUCCGGUUGGUAGUCCGGACCGGCCACUGGCAGAAGUAACCUUCCCUCCUCGGGUCGUCCGUUCUUCGUUUGUAAAAU
rnacentral:ncRNA from 1 species